GCCUUCGUGGUGUAAUGGUCAGCACACUCGGUACGUACUCGAGAGGUUCGAGGUUCGAGUCUUGGCGAGAGCA
rnacentral:tRNA from 1 species